rnacentral:lncRNA from 1 species
UGAAAAGUCUGAGCAUGCGCACUUUUGCCGCUUGAUUUUUGAAAACAGUGAGGAAUUGGCAGUGGAAAUUUAGCUUGAUCCAGAUUCCAGAACAAAGAAAAAGGUAAAAUAAUGAUUGCACAUUACACCAAAUAGGUUCUCCAUGAUAAAAACAAGUUUGAUUGAUGAAAAUAAAACAGCUGUUACCGUGUUGGGCGCCUCUUUCAAGUCGGUUAUACGUGAUCGUGUUGAAAUAUGAUACUUUUUCUUAUACUGUCAAUAUAUUGCACUGAUACAAGAUAUUUUAGCCAUGAUGUGUGUUAUUUGAAUCCAUUUAUCAAAUUUCUUGAUUAACUUGUGUUGUUUCUGAAGAUAUAUGCAAUUAAAAAUAAGUAAAAACUGUAGAAAGUAAAAAAAAGGGGGAGGGGUGCACAGCCACAAGUACUUGUUUUCUAUCUGUGACAAGAGCUACUAUCCCUAUAUAUUAAGGCUACAAGUGUCUGCUCUGUUAUUUUUUGAUAAUCAUUGAAGCAUAAAAGUCUUAUCCAUGUUAUCAAUAUCAGAAAAUGUGAAGCUAAACAUCUCAGCACUUUAGAUAUUUGGGUCCAUUACAAACUCCGCACAUUUCAAACUUGGCAUAUUACCAACCCGGCCUAUUAAUGAUAAUGCUGCAUAUAUCACUGGGGGUCGUCGCUAACAUGCAUGAAAUAUUUGCCACUGGAUGUUGAGCAACAAACGAUCAAUCAUUGUAUCACUGGGUCUGACAUGGAAAUAGACAAUUGUGCCAAUAAAGAUGUUGUAAAAUAUAGGCGUCACAGAAAAAAAUUAAGAUAGCCAUCACGGUUGUCGCAAUAGGAUUAGGUCGUUGUAGGAAGGCGUCCCAGAAAAAAAAUAAAAAAACAGCCUUCCAAGUCUUGAAAGUGUCAUAAUGAUUUAGACUAGGAUCUAGCCUUGAAAGUUGGGUAAAAUUUUCUUGUUUUCAGGGUAAAACCCAGUUUACAGGUGUUAAAACAGUACAUAGGGACAUCUUUUUUGCUGUACAAUUUAUAAUAUGAAAUCUACAUGUUUAUCAAUGACGAGCUACAUGUACAAUCACUAAAUAUGUGAUCAGAAACCAUGUUGUAAUCAAUCAUAAAACAUAUGAAUUUUGGAAUGCAUUUAAAUUUGUCACUUUGUUCUCCUAAAGAUUUGUUGGACUAACAUUUUUUUUUAUAUAAAUAAGGCGGUGAAUUUUCUCGUUUGAAUUGUUUCACAUUGUCAUUUCGGGCCUUUCAUAGCUGGCUAUGCGGUAUGGGCUUUGCUCAUUGUUGAAGGCAGUACGGUUACCUAUAAAUGUUAAUUUCUGUGUCAUUUUGGUCUCUUGUAAAGAGUUAUCUCAUUGGCAAUCAUACCACAUCUUCUUUUUUAUAUGAAACAGACAGAAGAAUAUAAAAGAUAAUUGAACGUAUUUUUAAUUUUUUUUCCAGAGUCUUGUAUAUAAAUCCACAGAUCCAAUGUGUCUGAGGUUGAGGAAAUCAUUGCAGUAACCAUGUAACAGUUAAGCAUGCACCAGCUCAAGAAUUUGGACCAAGAUUUUAAAAAGGUAAACAUCAGUUGAUCAGCUCUUUUUCUGUCCUCCUUAACUGAGUGAUAUAGUUUAACUCUUGUACUGUACGUA